rnacentral:rRNA from 2 species
GGCGAAGGGUGAGUAACACGUGCCCCCCUGCCUGUAAGACUGGGAUAACUCCGGGAAACCGGAGCUAAUACCGGAUAACAUUUUUUCUUGCAUAAGAGAAAAUUGAAAGAUGGUUUCGGCUAUCACUUACAGAUGGGCCCGCGGUGCAUUAGCUAGUUGGUGAGGUAACGGCUCACCAAGGCAACGAUGCAUAGCCGACCUGAGAGGGUGAUCGGCCACACUGGGACUGAGACACGGCCCAGACUCCUACGGGAGGCAGCAGUAGGGAAUCUUCCGCAAUGGACGAAAGUCUGACGGAGCAACGCCGCGUGAGUGAUGAAGGCUUUCGGGUCGUAAAACUCUGUUGUUAGGGAAGAACAAGUACAAGAGUAACUGCUUGUACCUUGACGGUACCUAACCAGAAAGCCACGGCUAACUACGUGCCAGCAGCCGCGGUAAUACGUAGGUGGCAAGCGUUAUCCGGAAUUAUUGGGCGUAAAGCGCGCGCAGGCGGUUUCUUAAGUCUGAUGUGAAAGCCCACGGCUCAACCGUGGAGGGAUCAUUGGAAACUGGGGAACUUGAGUGCAGAAGAGAAAAGCGGGAAUUCCACAUGUAGCGAUGAAUGCGUAGAGAUGUGGAGGAACACCAUGGCGAAGGCGCUUUUUGGUCUGAACUGAGAUGAAGCGCGAA